GGAUUAGAUACCCCACUAUGCCUAGCCUUAAACACUGAUCACUUACAUAAUCAAUUCCGCCCGGGAACUACGAGCCUCAGCUUAAAACCCAAAGGACUUGGCGGUGCCCCAAACCCACCUAGAGGAGCCUGUUCUAUAAUCGAUAACCCCCGCUUAACCUCACCGCUUCUUGCCAAAACCGCCUAUAUACCACCGUCGCCAGCCCACCCCGUGAGGGGAACACAGUAGGCAAAAUGGUCUCCACCAGAACGUCAGGUCAAGGUGUAGCGUAUGAAGCGGGAAGAAAUGGGCUACAUUUUCUGUAUCAGAACACACGAAAGGUCACUAUGAAACUUGACCCGAAGGAGGAUUUAGUAGUAAAAAGAAACAAGAGAGUUCUCUUUAACUCGGCCCUGGGGCGCGCACACACCGCCCGU
rnacentral:rRNA from 1 species